UACGAAGGGGGCUAGCGUUGUUCGGAAUUACUGGGCGUAAAGCGUGCGCAGGCGGCUUCUCAAGUCGGGGGUGAAAGCCCAGAGCUCAACUCUGGAACUGCCUUUGAGACUGAGAGGCUUGAGUACGGGAGAGGUGAGUGGAAUUCCCAGUGUAGAGGUGAAAUUCGUAGAUAUUGGGAAGAACACCGGUGGCGAAGGCGGCUCACUGGCCCGUAACUGACGCUGAGGUGCGAAAGCGUGGGGAGCAAACAGG
rnacentral:rRNA from 1 species